rnacentral:rRNA from 1 species
CCUACGGGAGGCAGCAGUGGGGAAUAUUGGACAAUGGGGGGAACCCUGAUCCAGCGACGCCGCGUGAGUGAAGAAGUAUUUCGGUAUGUAAAGCUCUAUCAGCAGGGAAGAAAGAAAUGACGGUACCUGACUAAGAAGCCCCGGCUAACUACGUGCCAGCAGCCGCGGUAAUACGUAGGGGGCAAGCGUUAUCCGGAUUUACUGGGUGUAAAGGGAGCGUAGCCGGGCUGACAAGUCAGAUGUGAAAUCCGGGGGCUCAACCCCCGAACUGCAUUUGAAACUGUUGGUCUUGAGUAUCGGAGAGGCAGGCGGAAUUCCUAGUGUAGCGGUGAAAUGCAUAGAGAUCAUACAGAACACCGAUUGCGAAGGCAGCUUACCAAACUACGACUGACGCUGAGGCACGAAAGCGUGGGGAGCAAACAGGAUUAGAUACCCGAGUAGUC